UACGGGGGGGCAAGCGUUGUUCGGAAUUACUGGGCGUAAAGGGCUCGUAGGGCGGCCAACUAAGUCAGACGUGAAAUCCCUCAGCUUAACUGGGAACUGCGUCUGAUACUGGAUGGCUUGGAUUCGGGAGAGGAAUGCGGAAUUCCAGGUGUAGCGGUGAAAUGCGUAGAUAUCUGGAGGAACACCGGUGGCGAAGGCGGCAUUCUGGACCGAUAUUGACGCUGAGGAGCGAAAGCCAGGGGAG
rnacentral:rRNA from 1 species